rnacentral:misc_RNA from 1 species
GAUGAAGAACGUAGCGAAAUGCGAUACGUAAUGUGAAUUGCAGAUUUCAGUGAAUCAUCGAAUCUUUGAACGCACAUUGCGCCCGCCAGUAUUCUGGCGGGCAUGCCUGUUCGAGCGUCAUUUCAACCAUCAAGCCCCCGGGCUUGUGUUGGGGACCUGCGGCUGCCGCAGGCCCUGAAAAGCAGUGGCGGGCUCGCUGUCACACCGAGCGUAGUAGCAUACAUCUCGCUCUGGGCGUGCUGCGGGUUCCGGCCGUUAAACCACCUUUUAACCCAAGGUUGACCUCGGAUCAGGUAGGAAGACCCGCUGAACUUAAGCAUAUCAAUAAGCGGAGGA